rnacentral:rRNA from 1 species
AGUAAUGUCUGGGAAACUGCCUGAUGGAGGGGGAUAACUACUGGAAACGGUAGCUAAUACCGCAUAACGUCACAAGACCAAAGAGGGGGACCUUCUGGCCUCUUGCCAUCACAUGUGCCCAAAUGGGAUUAUCUAGUAGGUGGGGUAAUGGCUCACCUAGGCGACGAUCCCUACCUGGUCUGAGAGGAUGACCAGCCACACUGGAACUGAGACACGGUCCAGACUCCUACGGGAGGCAGCAAUGGGGAAUAUUGCACAAUGGGCGCAAGCCUGAUGCACCCAUGCCGCGUGUGUGAACAAGGCCUUCGGGUUGUAAAGCACUUUCAACGAGGAGGAAGGUGGUGAACUUAAUACGUUCAUCAAUUGACGUUACUCGCAAAAAAAGCACCGGCUAACUCCGUGCCAGCAGCCGCGGUAAUACGGAGGGUGCAAGCGUUAAUCGGAAUUACUGGGCGUAAAGCGCACGCAGGCGGUUUGUUAAGUCAGAUGUGAAAUCCCCGGGCUCAACCUGGGAACUGCAUUUGAAACUGGCAAGCUAGAGUCUCGUAGAGGGGGGUACAAUUCCAGGUGUAGCGGUGAAAUGCGUAGAGAUCUGGAGGAAUACCGGUGGCGAAGGCGGCCCCCUGGACCAAGACUGACGCUCAGUGCGAAAGCGUGGGGAGCAAACAGGAUUACAUACCCUGGUAGUCCACGCUGUAAACGAUGUCGAUUUGG